rnacentral:lncRNA from 1 species
GAAAGGUUGAGGGAACUGGGCUUGUUUAGUUUGGAGAAGAGGAGGCCUUGGUCAGACCUACUUGUGGCCCUAUAUUACUUCAACGGAGUGUAUAAACAAGAGGGAGAACAAUUUUUCUGAAGGUGAACAGUGAUAAGACACGGGGGAAUGUUUUUAAACUGAGAAGGGAUGUGUAGGUUGGAUAUUAGGAGGAAGUUGUUGACACUCAGGGUGGUGACGCACUGAACAGGUUGCCCAAGGAGGCUGUGGAUGCCCCAUCCCUGGAGGCAUUCAAGGCCAGGCUGGAUGUGGCUCUGCGCAGCCUGGUCUGCUGGAUGGCGAUCCUGCACAUAGCAGGGGGCUGGAAUCAGAUGAUCAUUGUGGUCCUUUUCAACCCAGACCAUUCUAUGGUUCUGUCAUACUGAUUAACUGGGAAGAACCCGUGGUGCUGUCAGCAACCCCUGAUGGAGAUCAGGAUGAUCAGAAGAGUCUACUGAAGGAACUGAUUCAGCUGAUCCAAGGUGAUGAACCCUGCUCCUCACCUG